GACGAACGCUGGCGGCGUGCUUAACACAUGCAAGUCGAACGGAAAGGCCCUUCGGGGUACUCGAGUGGCGAACGGGUGAGUAACACGUGGGUGAUCUGCCCUGCACUUUGGGAUAAGCCUGGGAAACUGGGUCUAAUACCGAAUAGGACCACGGCAUUCAUGUGCUGUGGUGGAAAGCUUUUGCGGUGUGGGAUGGGCCCGCGGCCUAUCAGCUUGUUGGUGGGGUAAUGGCCUACCAAGGCGACGACGGGUAGCCGGCCUGAGAGGGUGACCGGCCACACUGGGACUGAGAUACGGCCCAGACUCCUACGGGAGGCAGCAGUGGGGAAUAUUGCACAAUGGGCGCAAGCCUGAUGCAGCGACGCCGCGUGAGGGAUGACGGCCUUCGGGUUGUAAACCUCUUUCAGUACCGACGAAGCGCAAGUGACGGUAGGUACAGAAGAAGGACCGGCCAACUACGUGCCAGCCGCCGCAGUAAAAC
rnacentral:rRNA from 1 species